rnacentral:rRNA from 1 species
UACGUAGGGGGCAAGCGUUAUCCGGAAUUACUGGGCGUAAAGGGUGCGUAGGUGGUUUCUUAAGUCAGAGGUGAAAGGCUACGGCUCAACCGUAGUAAGCCUUUGAAACUGGGGAACUUGAGUGCAGGAGAGGAGAGUGGAAUUCCUAGUGUAGCGGUGAAAUGCGUAGAUAUUAGGUGGAACACCAGUUGCGAAGGCGGCUCUCUGGACUGUAACUGACACUGAGGCACGAAAGCGUGGGGAGCAAACAGG